rnacentral:rRNA from 1 species
GAUGAACGCUAGCGGUGUGCCUAAUGCAUGCAAGUCGAACGGGAUCCUUUGGAUUCGCCUGAAGGUGAGAGUGGCGAACGGGUGAGUAACACGUAGGUGACCUGCCCCGGAGAGGGGGACAACCACUGGAAACGGUGGCUAAUACCCCAGAUGUUAUUGCGCUUAGAAAGCAAUUACUAAAGUUCCGGCGCUCCGGGAGGGGCCUGCGGCCCAUCAGCUUGUUGGUAAGGUAAUGGCUUACCAAGGCUAAGACGGGUAGGGGGCGUGAGAGCGUGACCCCCCACACUGGUACUGAGACACGGACCAGAUACCUGCGGGUAGCAGCAGCAAGGAAUAUUGCCCAAUGGACGAAAGUCUGAGGCAGCAACACCGCGUGGAGGAUGAAGGCCUUGGUGUAACGUCCUUUCUGGGGUAAGAGAAAGGACGGUA